GUUGAACGCUGGCGGCGUGCCUAAUACAUGCAAGUCGAGCGAACCGGGGACGGGUGAGUACCACGUGGAUAACCUCCUUUAAGACUCGCAUAACUUCGGGAAACCGGAUCCAAAUCCGAUACUUAUAGAUGUUUCCUGGCUGCAUUAUCUAGUUGGUAAGGUAACGGCUUACCAAGGCAACGAUGCAUAGCCGACCUGAGAGGGUGAUCGGCCACACUGGAACUGAGACACGGUCCAGACUCCUACGGGAGGCAGCAGUAGGGAAUCUUGCGCAAUGGGCGAAAGCCUGACGGAGCAACGCCGCGUGAGUGAUGAAGGUCUUCGGAUGGUAAAGCUCUGUUAUUAGGGAGGCGGUACCUAAUCAGAAAGCAACGGCUAACUUCGUGCCAGCAGCCGCGGUAAUAC
rnacentral:rRNA from 1 species